CUUUCAGGUUGCCCACAAAUGUUUGGCCAGUGAGCAUGUGAGGUAUCAUGAGUCGACUAACUUGGGAGUUGAGCCCAGGUGUCCCACGUGUCAGACGAGCUCUUGUUGAUCUGUGUAGAUAUGACUGGACACAAGUGCAGAGAGGACUCAGAUAACAGGGUCUCUUUAGUGAUUAUUUACUUCAAGGUUAACACCACACAAUCAAUCAAUCAAUCAAUCAAUCAAUCAAUCAAAUGCACAGUCAGAGGGUCUAUGAGGAGGUAGAACAGUGGCCCUCUGCUUACUGAACACCUCCUUUCCGUCAAGGUACCUGGGGAGAACUCAGGGAACUCAACAGACUUGAGAGACUAGGGAAAUUAACUCAGGAGGAUGAGGACAGAUAGCAUGACACGUGUCCCCCCCAUUCCAGAACAGAACCAGGAACCCAGUCCAACAGAAACACUGUGAACUGUGAAAAUACAGCAUUUCUAGAACCUUCAAUUCAGACAUGUAAUGCAUCCAUAACAGCCAUUCCUCAAAGCCUGUCCUUCUAGGGCAGUCGCUGACAAGGGUGAGUCGAAAGAAGUUGAAGGCAAAGGUCUUGAGCUAGAGUCAGAUCCAUGAAACACCCUGCUGCACUAGAGAAGGCCUGGAAAGGGUGCUCAUGUUCCCAAGAGGAAAUGGUGACAGGCAGAAAGACUCCAGCACCAGGGAAUCCAAGAAAUCAAGUUACCCCUUUCACAGCCCUCCUGCAGCUGAGCAGAAUCUGGCUUUUCCUUUCGUAAAAGAUAUGUAAAAGAUUGGACUGCGUGCACUACAUAUAUGUAUAUGUAAAAGUUCUGAUCAAAGUUAUUAAUACCCACACAUGUAUGGGCAUGUAUAAGCAUUUCAUCUCCAUGUUACAUAACCUUUCUGAACUGUACAUGCAUGUUCCCUGUCUUCCCUGUUACAUGGGUCCUCUGUGUGGCUGGAUCAUUCUUAGGAGAUUCCCUCUUAUCCUAUAGUCUUUUUAUCCUCCUGUGAUUGAAAUACAGAAUAAGAUCUCUCAACACUAUCAUUUUAAAGUUACUAGUGUGGCAGGCACCAUGGCCUGUAGUUGGAAGAAUUAUAAAUACUACAGGAUUCAGUAGGUUUUCCCCCUUUUUCUGUUUUCUCUCUAUAGGGGGUUUGAUUGGUGAGGGAGAAGUCCUGCAUCAAGGCCAGACAUCUUCCCGCAACAGACUAAGCCUUCUGGAAGAGAACAGAGGAGAUAUUGAGAGACUGUAAGUUCAAAAACUGUCAUAACUAUGAAAUGUAUUGUAGUCUUGAUGGCAUUAAUUAAUCAGACCAUAAAUACUAGCUACCAAUUCUGCAAAGGACCACAACAAUAUGGUCCUCACAACAAUAUGAUUAUAGUGUAAAAGUAAAAGUAAAUGACUUCUGUACUGCUGUACAAUGGUGUAUACAUCACUGGAACAUUCAUGCUCUCAGCUUUCCAAUGACCUCCCAUUCAUCAGCAUACCAAUCAGGUAGUUAUGUACGUAAAGACUAACCUUAUUGGAGAACUGACCCGUCAGUGUCGCUCAACCUGCAGAAUACAAACAUCUUUAAAAGCCCUAUAAUGUGAGACAUAAUUGGUGCCUCAAGAUGAGUGGCAUACAUCACUGGAUCUCAGAUUGAGAUCAGAAAUGACAUACACAGUUAUACAUUAUUUAACAGUGAAUUUCGUGCUGCAACGGCCAAUCAGAAAAUUGCAAUACUAUUACGUUGUUUGGUUGUUUAUUUUGCCUAAAAGAACAGCUUGGAGAGACCUGUAAGAGGUUGUUGUUGUUCCUGGUAUGUUAGAUAUUUCAUUCUGGUCUUUCUUUAACAGAAUAACAGUGCUGACAAAAAGACAAGUCACUGGAUAGCCUAACAGCUGAUUGGCUUGCUAGUUUCCAUGUGCCACAAAGAGUGAAGAAAGAAUUGUUUUUGUCAAUUUUGUAAAAAUGUCACCUUGCUCAUCACAUCUCUUCACAACCUUGUUCAUGCCUCCAUGCUUGUUGCAUCAAAGAUCAAAGAACUGUCUGUGUUCUGAAAUCAUCUUCUAUUGUGUUAUUCUUCCAUUCCCCACAGCAAAUCCAGCAUGCAUGAAACGCAGCAGGUGAGAGUGACCAAGCUGGAGUUGGCAGCACAGUCUCUCAUAGACACUGAAGAAAGCAUGAAAGAACUCAAAAGACAACAAGCGGAUGGACACAGGUACCAAUAAACAAAACACUCAUGUGAAUUAGUUCAUAUAUUGAAUUGAAUACAGCCUCAUUUUGAUCUGUCACUUUCUGCGUUCCCUCAGGUUGACAAUCAGGGAGAAUGUAGACUUUAUUCGCCUUCAGAAACAGCUGUUUGAUCUGUCACUUUCUGCGUUCCCUCAGGUUGACAAUCAGGGAGAAUGUAGACUUUAUCCGCCUUCAGAAACAGCUGUCGGACAAGAGUGCUGCUCUGCUGCUGGUACAGGAGAAAUCCAGCAUGCUGCAAGAGGUGGGACAUACACUUUAAUUAAAAUAUAAUUAACAGAGAAACAAUAAAACAUUAAAGAAGAAAGGUUUUACUUCUUUGUCAUUGGCCUAAAAGUGUGCUUAUCUGGGCUCUACUCUGGCAAAGGGCUUUCAACUGACCAAUAGCCUGAACAGACCGCAGUAAUGUUGCCAGCAACCAGUGGUCUUUGGCCGCUCACUGUGCAUGGUCCAGAGUUUGCUGUUGUGAGAAUAGAGAUGACUCAAGAUCUACUGACUGUGUUAAAGCUUCCUCUUCAGAACACAACUGGACUUCAACAGUUGGUCUCAGUCAGGGAGAGAUAGCUUAGUCUGGAUAUGUUAAGGACACAGAUUCACUGAGAAAUCAUUUAUGAGAGACUGAGACCUCCUUCUCAGGCAUUGUCCUGCUUCUAAACCUCAACUUCAAAUUGACUGGAUGAUGAUUUUAUUGAAAAUCAGUGUUACUAUGUCUUCGAAAAGCACUAUUCUAUAAAUGAUGUCCUCUAUGUUGUUAUUUGUCAACAGGCAUAUGAGGCCCAUUUACAAGAGGUAAGUCAAAUCCAUCAGAACAGUUGCGUUUUGGUGGUCUUAGCUUUGAGGCUAUUGGUAUCCUGUUCUGUGUUAUGAAUGUUGGUGGUCAGUGUGAUCGUCAAUCUUUCACGAGGACGAGUCCCCUUCUUAUGGAUGACCAUUAGUCCUGAUAUUCCUCUUUGCAUUACAAUGCUUUGGGCUGGUAAGACCUUAAGGGGGAGAAAUGGUGCUAGACAGUUCAUGAUCCCCUUAAGGUUUCUGAAAACCUGCCUAAAUAUGAUCAGGUCCAUGAUUACAUUGAUAUAGAUAAUAUUUAUUCACAAAUCGGCGUGCUUACAUAAUCAUAAUCUGAGAACUAUACUUUAUUAUACUAAAUUCUGUUGUUUUUUCUGGGACUGUGUUUUGUGUUGUGUUUCUAAAGCGAUGUAUAAUGAAAAGAAAGGUGAACACUUCCUUAAACAGAAGAUUUGACUUUCAGAUGAAACUGGAGUACCCAGUGACUGUAUUGAGUCAUGUAUUGAUUAACAUAAAAUAGAGUACGUUGUUGAAUCGACUAAGGUUAGACUGAGGUUCAGAGCUGUCAUGUCAUCAGAUGUAAAAUGUCGGUUGGAGAGUCUCAAAACAGGAAGACAUUAUUGACAGAACAAUGAAUCCUCAGGAUUAAUAAAGUAUCCAUCU
ensembl:lncRNA